UGCAAGUCGAACGGCAGCACAGAGAGAGCUUGCUCCUUGGGUGGCGAGUGGCGGACGGGUGAGGAAUACAUCGGAAUCUACUUUUUCGUGGGGGAUAACGUAGGGAAACUUACGCUAAUACCGCAUACGACCUACGGGUGAAAGCAGGGGACCUUCGGGCCUUGCGCGAUUGAAUGAGCCGAUGUCGGAUUAGCUAGUUGGCGGGGUAAAGGCCCACCAAGGCGACGAUCCGUAGCUGGUCUGAGAGGAUGAUCAGCCACACUGGAACUGAGACACGGUCCAGACUCCUACGGGAGGCAGCAGUGGGGAAUAUUGGACAAUGGGCGCAAGCCUGAUCCAGCCAUACCGCGUGGGUGAAGAAGGCCUUCGGGUUGUAAAGCCCUUUUGUUGGGAAAGAAAUCCAGCUGGCUAAUACCCGGUUGGGAUGACGGUACCCAAAGAAUAAGCACCGGCUAACUUCGUGCCAGCAGCCGCGGUAAUACGAAGGGUGCAAGCGUUACUCGGAAUUACUGGGCGUAAAGCGUGCGUAGGUGGUCGUUUAAGUCCGUUGUGAAAGCCCUGGGCUCAACCUGGGGAACUGCAGUGGAUACUGGGCGACUAGAGUGUGGUAGAGGGUAGCGGAAUUUCCUGGUGUAGCAGUGAAAUGCGUAGAGAUCAGAGGAACAUCCAUGGCGAAGGCAGCUACCUGGACCAACACUGACACUGAGGCACGAAAGCGUGGGGAGCAACAGAUUAGAUACCCUGGUAGUCCACGCCCUAACGAUGCGAACUGGAUGUUGGGUGCAAAUUGGCACGCAGUAUCGAAGCUAACGCGUUAAGUCGCGCUGGGGAGUACGUCGCAAGACUGAAACUCAAAG
rnacentral:rRNA from 1 species